AAAGAAGUGGCCACUAGUGAAUAUAACACAUUCCUUAAUAAAUAUUAGCUCCCAUGUUUUGAUCGUCCUAAUGUAAGAGUGCAGCUUCAAAUAUUCAUGCCUUCUUGGUUAAUAUAUAUAUCCCCUUGCACCCGGAAGAUGUUCCAACAAAAUUUAGAAUCUCCCAAAAGCGUCACGUAUUCACAUACUGAUUACAUUACCCAAAUCAACACGUCACGUUCAUACUCUUAAUCGCCCAUUCUUGCCCAUUCCAGCUUCAUACUUCUAGUAACUUCAGCCCAUCCCACCAUCACAUAUAUGUCCCAUGCACAUCAUUAUAUAGUUUUUCCAUAUAUAUCAAAA
rnacentral:lncRNA from 1 species